UACGUAGGGUCCGAGCGUUGUCCGGAAUUAUUGGGCGUAAAGAGCUCGUAGGCGGUCUGUCGCGUCGGCUGUGAAAACUUGGGGCUCAACCCCAAGCCUGCAGUCGAUACGGGCAGACUAGAGUGCGGUAGGGGAGACUGGAAUUCCUGGUGUAGCGGUGAAAUGCGCAGAUAUCAGGAGGAACACCGGUGGCGAAGGCGGGGUCACUGGCCAGUUUCUGACGCUGCAGCGCGAAAGCGUGGGGAUCAAACAGG
rnacentral:rRNA from 1 species